rnacentral:tRNA from 1 species
CGCUCGCGGGUGCCCGGGUCGCUCGCGGGUGCCCGGGUCGCUCGCGGGUGCCCGGGUCGCUCGCGGGUGCCCGGGUCGCCGGCGAGCGUCC